GCUUCCCACUAUUGUCGAUGGGUGUGAAUCUAGUGGUUCACAUGAGCUUUGCCAAACUGUGACUAGAUCCACACUCAUUAACAAGAGUGCUCGGAA
rnacentral:pre_miRNA from 1 species